GACAGAGGGUGCAAACGUUGUUCGGAAUUACUGGGCGUAAAGCGUGUGUAGGCGGUCCCGUAAGUCGGAUGUGAAAGCCCUGGGCUCAACCCAGGAAGUGCACUCGAUACUGCAGGACUAGAGUAUCGGAGAGGUUGGUGGAAUUCUCGGUGUAGAGGUGAAAUUCGUAGAUAUCAGGAGGAACACCGGUGGCGAAGGCGGUUCUCUGGGCCUGUACUGACGCUGGAGGAACGAAAGCGUGGGGAGCGAACAGG
rnacentral:rRNA from 1 species